rnacentral:tRNA from 1 species
AGGCGAAUAGUUUAAUGGUUAAAGCACUCGGCUUAUAUCCGAGCUAGUGUAGGUUCAAGCCCUACUUCGCCUACCA